rnacentral:rRNA from 1 species
GUGGAUUAGAUACCCUGGUAGUCCACGCCGUAAACGUUGGGAACUAGAUGUGGGGGCCAUUCCACGGUCUCCGUGUCGCAGCUAACGCAUUAAGUUCCCCGCCUGGGGAGUACGGCCGCAAGGCUAAAACUCAAAGGAAUUGACGGGGGCCCGCACAAGCGGCGGAGCAUGCGGAUUAAUUCGAUGCAACGCGAAGAACCUUACCAAGGCUUGACAUACACGAGAACGGGCCAGAAAUGGUCAACUCUUUGGACACUCGUGAACAGGUGGUGCACGGCUGUCGCCAACU